rnacentral:rRNA from 1 species
UACGUAGGGUGCAAGCGUUGUCCGGAAUUAUUGGGCGUAAAGAGCUCGUAGGCGGUUCGUCGCGUCGGCUGUGAAAACCCGGAGCUCAACUCCGGGCCUGCAGUCGAUACGGGCGGACUCGAGUUCGGCAGGGGAGACUGGAAUUCCUGGUGUAGCGGUGGAAUGCGCAGAUAUCAGGAGGAACACCGGUGGCGAAGGCGGGUCUCUGGGCAGUAACUGACGCUGAGGAGCGAAAGCGUGGGGAGCGAACAGG